AAAACCCUCGCCACUCAUGAAGAACUGAGGCAAAAGGAUCACAGAUGCUGCUCGGGGCCAGCCCUAUACUCCCUCCAGUGCCUGGUCUCCGGUGGACCCGCGGGGCUCUGCAGUUCUCUGGCGGCCGCGCCUUGUAAGCGCUAAGCCGGGAGGAGGGCGCAGGCAGGGCGCACAGCUCUGAGCGCGACCCUACCCGGCUCGGGCCCGCAGCAACCCCGACUGUCCGAGAGCCUCUCCCCAAGCAAGGCUCUGCGCCGCCCUCUGAGCCCACCUCCUGGCCACAACGCUGCCUGCGCUUCUCCAGCCCAGGCCGGAAGCCCUAUGCUGCCUCCCGAAGCCGACUCAAGGACUGGGGACUUGGUGGAUCUAUGGCAUUGGUACCCACAGAGGUCACCUGCACAGAUAAAUCUGUCGCCACCCUUCAACCCUGGCCUACCGGAUCUGCGGGGAGAAAUGCAGCAUUUGAAUUGGGGAGUGUUCAGUCCUGCUCUGCGGGGCAUUUAUUUACAAAUAUCAGCUGCAACCCAGCCUUGAUAACGUCUCAUACAGUCAGAGGACUUUGCGGGAAGCACACUUCCUCCUUGUUUGGGGCUACAGGGAAAGCCCAGGAAAGCGAGUCCCAGAAGGCCUGGGACAGCUACACCCAGUUCACCCAUGCUCAACCCGGAACAGCCGACCCAAACGGUCAGGAAGGACUUUCUGGAAGCCCAUCUUCGUAUGCUCACCAGCCCACCCUCCUACGCUGGUCAGAGUGAGAUUGCUAACCUCAAGACCCCAUUCAAUGCCAGCUUUCAACUACUGCUGAAGACCAAUGUAGGUCCUGGAAUAGAAGAACUGCAGAGUGGGGCUGCGUAGAGGAUUCGGCAGUUUCUCGGCCACAAGGACGGAGUUUCCUAAGAAGGGAAAGAAGAGUGCGGGCAGAGAGGAGAGGUCCGAGGGGGAAAAGAGAGGCCUGAGGACGCUCUGGCGGCUCCAGUACCAAGCCUUGGUAUCUUUGGGAUUCUGGGGAGAGUGGAAGGGUUUACAAACUACACAUAAAUCGGUGAACUUGAACCACUGUGUAUCCCGAUUUUGCAUUGAGCCGGGCCCUGCGCACCCGGAAUGCUGAAGUGGCCAAGGGCAGAGAGGGGUGUAUUUGCAACUCGUGGUUUCUUCGGUUAAACAAACCCCAACCCGUAGCCUCAGCAACAACAACAAAAACUGCAAGUGCAGGAAGCAAAAUUAAACAUAAUUCCUUUUAUUUAUCUGUUGCAUUUAUAUCAUUAAAAUAUUUUUGGUUACGUUGUAUAGAAUAGCAUCCACUCUGAUUAUUACCUGCCAUAUCGGCUGUAUUCAACACAGCAAAAUUAACAAUUAAGAAAAUAAAGGCACAUCUUAUAUAUUG
rnacentral:lncRNA from 1 species